AUGAUGAAUUUGCUGCAAGGGAUAACUUUGUAUUUCUUCAACAUUGGGGAGAAGUCUGCAGGUGUUGCAAUUGGAAGUAUUGCAAUUGGAAGUGGAUAUAGUGGGUUAUGUAAACUUGCCAUGCCAUGUUACUAUGUUAUUGGUCUUACUGUUGGAUUUGUUCUGGGCAAGCUAUUGGUCUUACUAUUAGAGAAUCCUUACCCCCUUAAGGAUUUGCUAACUAAAUGGGCUACACUUUUGAUGCUUUGA